UUCAUUAACGUAUUGUCAUACUCUUGAAACAGUGUACAUGCUAUAAUCAUUUGGUUCUUUUUUAUCAGUUUUUUCCUCAUGUAAUUCAGGCACUGACUGUCGUGGAGAAAAACAUCCAAGAUACCUUUUCAGAAAACGGGAACCACCCUUUGGUAAAGCUCGUAGCUAACGAAAAGCUGAAAUCAGCUUUCAAGAAGAACAAAAGACUAGUUUCAUCGUAUACAGAAUCCGUCCUCGUCAAGGAAGCGUGUUC